UCAGGAUGAACGCUAGCUACAGGCUUAACACAUGCAAGGUCGAGGGGAAACGAUAGAGAAAGCUUGCUUUUUCUAGGCGUCGACCGGCGCACGGGUGAGUAACGCGUAUCCAACCUGCCCAUCACUUGGGGAUAACCUUGCGAAAGUAAGACUAAUACCCAAUGACGUCUCUAGAAGACAUCUGAAAGAGAUUAAAGAUUUAUCGGUGAUGGAUGGGGAUGCGUCUGAUUAGCUUGUUGGCGGGGUAACGGCCCACCAAGGCGACGAUCAGUAGGGGUUCUGAGAGGAAGGCCCCCCACAUUGGAACUGAGACACGGUCCAAACUCCUACGGGAGGCAGCAGUGAGGAAUAUUGGUCAAUGGACGAGAGUCUGAACCAGCCAAGUAGCGUGCAGGAUGACGGCCCUAUGGGUUGUAAACUGCUUUUAUAAGGGAAUAAAGUGAGUCUCGUGAGACUUUUUGCAUGUACCUUAUGAAUAAGGACCGGCUAAUUCCGUG
rnacentral:rRNA from 1 species